ACUCCAGGGAGACUGCCGGUGAUAAACCGGAGGAAGGUGGGGACGACGUCAAGUCAUCAUGGCCCUUACGAGUAGGGCUACACACGUGCUACAAUGGCGCAUACAGAGGGCAGCCAACUUGCGAAAGUGAGCGAAUCCCAAAAAGUGCGUCGUAGUCCGGAUUGGAGUCUGCAACUCGACUCCAUGAAGUCGGAAUCGCUAGUAAUCGUGGAUCAGAAUGCCA
rnacentral:rRNA from 1 species